UACGUAGGGUACGAGCGUUGUCCGGAUUCAUUGGGCGUAAAGAGCUCGUAGGCGGCUUGGCAAGCCGGGUGUGAAAACUCCAGGCUCAACCUGGAGACGCCACCCGGGACUGCUAUGGCUAGAGUCCGGUAGGGGAUCACGGAAUUCCUGGUGUAGCGGUGAAAUGCGCAGAUAUCAGGAGGAACACCGGUGGCGAAGGCGGUGAUCUGGGCCGGCACUGACGCUGAGGAGCGAAAGCUAGGGUAGCAAACGGG
rnacentral:rRNA from 1 species